rnacentral:rRNA from 1 species
CAUGCAUGUCUAAGUACAGUACUUGUACUGCGAAACCGCAAAGAGCUCAUUAAAUCAGUUAUGGUUCACUGGGUCAUCCAAGUUAAUUGGAUAACUCUGGCAAUUCUAGAGCUAAUACAUGCAUAUAGAGCUUCUGUCUUAUGGCAGUUGCGCUUUUGUUAGUUCUAAACCAAUCAGUGCUUGCACUGUUCGUGUGAUGAAUCUAAACAACUUAGCCGAUCGCACGGUCUUGUACCGGCGACGUAUCUUUCAAAUGUCUGACUUAUCAACUGUCGAUGGUAGACUUUAUGCCUACCAUGGUUGUAACGGGUGACGGGGAAUCAGGGUUCGAUUCCGGAGAGGGAGCCUGAGAAACAGCUACCACAUCCAAGGAAGGCAGCAGGCACGCAAAUUACCCACUUAUAGCCCAUAGAGGUAGUGACGAAAAAUAACGAUACGGGACUCAUCCGAGGCCCCGUAAUCGGAAUGAGAACACUCUAAACCCUUUAACGAGGAUCAAUUGGAGGGCAAGUCUGGUGCCAGCAGCCGCGGUAAUUCCAGCUCCAAUAGCGUAUAUUAAAGUUGUUGCGUUUAAAAAGCUCGUAGUCUGACUUGUGUAAGCAGACCGUAGGUGCAUCGUAAGCGGUGCCACCUACGAGUUUGAAACGUCAUGUCGGUGGUUUCUUCUCUUACUUCGGUUUGAGUGAUUCCAAUCAAACUCAUUUUAGUGCUCUUAAACAAGUGCUGUUACUGGGCCGACAAUUCUACUUUGAAUAAAGUGGAGUGCUUAACUCAGGCUAUACGUUUGUACACUAUAGCAUAGUAUAGAUGAACAAGAGGCAUGGUCCUUUGUUGGUGUUUUGGCCAUACCUAAUGAUUAAUAGGAAUGGAUCAAGGCAUUAGUAUUACUGCCCUAGAGGUGAAAUUCUUGGACUGCAGAAGGACUGACGGAAGCGAAGGCAUUUGUCGAUUACGUUUUCGUUGAUCAAGAACGAAA